rnacentral:rRNA from 1 species
GAUGAACGCUAGCGGCAGGCCUAAUACAUGCAAGUCGUACGGCAACACAGUUGCGAGCAAUCGCAACCGGUGGCGAGUGGCGCACGGGUGAGUAACGCGUAUGUAACCUACCCUUCUCCGGGACAUAACUCCGCGAAAGCGGUGCUAAUAUCCCAUACCAACUCAUCAAGACAUCUUCUUGAGUUGAAAGCAGCAAUGCGGUGAAGGAUGGGCAUGCGUCCCAUUAGCUGGUUGGUGAGGUAAUGGCCCACCAAGGCUACGAUGGGUAGGGGUUCUGAGAGGAAAGCCCCCCACACUGGUACUGAGACACGGACCAGACUCCUACGGGAGCAGCAGUAAGGAAUAUUGGGCAAUGGUCGAAAGACUGACCCAGCCAUGCCGCGUGCAGGAUGAAGGCCCUAUGGGUUGUAAACUGCUUUUAGCCGGGAAUAAACACCCGUUUUAUAACGGGCCCGAAGGUACCGCUGAAUAAGCAUCGGCUAACUCCGUGCCAGCA